GAUGAACGCUGGCGGCGUGCCUAAUACAUGCAAGUCGAGCGAACAGAUGAGGAGCUUGCUCCUCUGACGUUAGCGGCGGACGGGUGAGUAACACGUGGAUAACCUACCUAUAAGACUGGGAUAACUGCGGGAAACCGGCGCUAAUACCGGAUAAUAUAUUGAACCGCAUGGUUCAAUAGUGAAAGACGGUUUUGCUGUCGCUUAUAGAUGGAUACGCGCCGCAUUAGCUAGUUGGUAAGGUAACGGGUUACCAAGGCAACGAUGCGUAGCCGACCUGAGAGGGUGAUCGCCCACACGGGAACUGAGACACGGUCCAGACUACUGCGGGAGGCAGCAGUAGGGAAUCUUCCGCAGUGGGCGAGAGCAUGGCGGAGCAACGCCGAGUGAGUGAUGAAGGUCUUCGGAUCGUAAAAAUCUGUUAUUAGGGAAGAACAAAUGUGUAAGUAAAUAUGCACGUAUUGACGGUACCUAAUCAGAAAGCCACGGCUAACUACGUG
rnacentral:rRNA from 1 species